UACGCAGGGUGCGAGCGUUAAUCGGAAUUACUGGGCGUAAAGCGUGCGCAGGCGGUUCGCAAAGUCUGAUGUGAAAGCCCCGGGCUCAACCUGGGAACUGCAUUGGAAACUAACGGGCUCGAGUGUGGCAGAGGGGGGUGGAAUUCCACGUGUAGCAGUGAAAUGCGUAGAGAUCGGGAGGAACGCCGGUGGCGAAGGCGGGUCUCUGGGCAUCUCCUGACGCUGAGGCGCGAAAGCGUGGGGAGCAAACGGG
rnacentral:rRNA from 1 species